rnacentral:lncRNA from 1 species
CUCUGCAAAAUGGCGCCAACUUCCUGAGGCUCCACCCCAGCGUGCACUCUGCCCAGUGCGCAGGCCGGUAGGGAGUCUCUUUAUGCUUGGCUGUCUCAACAUGAGAACUUCUGUGGUCUGUGAAGCCAAUCUCAAUAUGAUGUUAGUGGCUUAAUUUAUAAGGAAAAACUGAGCUCCUUCUGAAAAGUCUUUGGAGAGAGAGAAGAAACCGAAGACAGGGAGAAGGCUCAAGGGAGGAAGAUAGGCUAGGGACAAAGGAGGGGCAAUGGAAAUUGUCAGAGAGGUUGAACUCUACUUUUCUAAGCAUUAAUUAUUGGAAAGAAGGCCUGCAAACACAAGGGAACAACACAUCUCCCUUGAUUAAUCCUAAAUACCUUUAAUCAAAAAAAGACAUGGUUUUAAUAAACUCUGCACUAGGCUAAGGUUCCAACUCACUCCCUGGAGGAUGCUACGUCUCACAGGAAGAUUACAGAGGCGAUUGCAGUAUGAAGGCAACCAGCCAUGUCGUUGCUGUCUGACAAAUGGGAUGCGAUUUUCUUGUGCUUUACACUUGGGGCUCGGAUUAUUUUCGUGGAAAAUUUUUAGCACUUUGAGAUGUUAUAACACUGGCAUCCUAGAGACCGAAAUAUGAAAUAACUUAGUACAAAAUAGGUCCUCGUGGGAAGCCAAUGUGCACGUUUUCCCACCAUAUUCUGCCAACGGUGCACUAUUCUCAACUACUCCAUUUAUCUCUACGGGGCAAAUAAUGGAUGUGUUCCAGCACCCACUCAAUUUCUGUGUUUUCGUCUAGCUGAAAUAAUAAUAGAUGUAAAAUAUGGCUCUCUGUCUAAAAUUA